rnacentral:rRNA from 1 species
AAAUUUCCCCCAGUGACUGGGCGGAUCAUACGAGAUACCGCUCUAUACCCUUCUGAACAUACAAUAACGUGGUUGGCGGGCGGGAAGGCCUCCGGCCGACUCCAGCCCGCUUUUGGGGCACCGCGGAAGAUAACCGCCCUGUUCAACGACGUUUCUUCUUAGUGGACAAGCAAAAAUCAAACUUUUUAACAACGGGUCUCCUGGUCCGGAUCGGUAAAGACGCCGCGAAAUGCGAAUAGUAAUUUGAAUUGCAGGAUUCAGGUAAUUCUCGAAUUCUUUGAAUGCCCAUUUGGCCCGCCAGCAAUCUGGGGGGCAAGCCUGUUCGAGCGUCAUUUCAACCCUCAAGCUCCGCUUGGCGUUGGGGCCCUACGGCUGACGUAGGCCCUCAAAGGUAGUGGCGGACCCUCUAAGGAGCCUCCUUUGCGUAGUAACUUCUGUCUCGCACUGGGUCCGGAGGGGCUUUCCGGCCGUAAACCCCCCAAUUUCAAAGGUGACCUCGAUCAGGUAGAGCCCCCUUCCU